rnacentral:rRNA from 1 species
GGAGGCAUCGGUGGGGAAUUGUUCGCAAUGGGCGCAAGCCUGACGACACACCGCCGCGUGGAGGAUGAAGAUCUUCGGGUCGUAAACUCCUUUCGAUCGGGAAGAUUAUGACGGUACCGGAAGAAGAAGCCCCGGCUAACUCUGUGCCAGCAGCCGCGGUAAUACAGAGGGGGCAAGCUUUGUUCGGAAUUAUUGGGCGUAAUGGGCGCGUAGGCGGUGCGGUAUGUCACUUGUGAAAUCUCUGGGCUCAACUCAGAGUCUGCAACCGAAACUGCCGUGCUUGAGUGUCGGAGAGGUAACUGCAAUUCCCGGUGUAGCGGUGAAAUGCGUAGAUGUCGGGAGGAACACCUGUGGCAAAAGCGGCUUACUACACCACAACUGACGCUCAGGCGCGAAAACUAGGGGAGCAAACAGGAUUAGAUACCCUGGUAGUCCUAGCCCUAAACUAUGAAUGCUUGGUGUGACAGGUACCCAAUCCUGUCGUGCCGGAGCUAACGCUCUAACCAUUCCGCCUGGGGAGUACGGUCGCAAGGCUGAAACUUAAAGGAAUUGACGGGACUCU